CCUACGGGAGGCUGCAGUGGGGAAUAUUGGACAAUGGGGGGAACCCUGAUCCAGCCAUGCCGCGUGUGUGAAGAAGGCCCUCGGGUUGUAAAGCACUUUCAGUGAGGAAGAACGCCUGGUGGUUAAUACCCAUCAGGAAAGACAUCACUCACAGAAGAAGCACCGGCUAACUCCGUGCCAGCAGCCGCGGUAAUACGGAGGGUGCGAGCGUUAAUCGGAAUUACUGGGCGUAAAGCGCGCGUAGGUGGCUUGAUAAGCCGGUUGUGAAAGCCCCGGGCUCAACCUGGGAACGGCAUCCGGAACUGUCAAGCUAGAGUGCAGGAGAGGAAGGAAGAAUUCCCGGUGUAGCGGUGAAAUGCGUAGAGAUCGGGAGGAAUACCAGUGGCGAAGGCGGCCUUCUGGACUGACACUGACACUGAGGUGCGAAAGCGUGGGUAGCAAACAGGAUUAGAUACCCGUGUAGUC
rnacentral:rRNA from 1 species